CUUACCGAGACCGAGACCAGUACCAAAGCCAAGGAACCGGCCCAGCGUGCCCCCACCCCCCCAACCUCCUGGUGUCCACUCAGCUGGGGACAGCAGCCUCACCAACACAGCACCAACAGCUUCCAAGAUAGUAACAGGUAAAUGUAUGACCUGCCAUAUUCAGUAAGAACUGAGAUUGGAAUAUUUAAUGACUCCAAUUCCAGGGUUUCAGAACCGCAUCGCAGCAUCUUUCCUGAAAUGCACUCAGACUCAGCCAGCAAAGACGUGCCUGGCCGCAUCCUGCUGGAUAUAGACAAUGAUACCGAGAGCACUGCCCUGUGAAGAAAGCCCUUUCCCAGCCCUCCACCACUUCCACCCUGGCGAGUGGAGCAGGGGCAGGCGAACCUCUUUCUUUGCAGACCGAACAGUGAAAAGCUUUCAGUGGAGGACAAAGGAGGGCCUCACUGUGCGGGACCUGGCCUUCUGCACGGCCCAAGGAGAACCUGGAGGCCACCACUAAAGCUGAAUGACCUGUGUCUUGAAGAAGUUGGCUUUCUUUACAUGGGAAGGAAAUCAUGCCAAAAAAAUCCAAAACAAAGAAGUACCUGGAGUGGAGAGAGUAUUCCUGCUGAAACGCGCAUAGGAAGCUUUUGUCCCUGCUGUUAAUGCGGGCAGCACCUACAGCAACUUGGAAUGAGUAAGAAGCAGUGCGUUAACUAUCUAUUUAAUAAAAUGCGCUCAUUAUGCAAGUCGCCUACUCUCUGCUACCUGGACGUUCAUUCUUAUGUAUUAGGAGGGAGGCUGCGCUCCUUCAGACUUGCUGCAGAAUCAUUUUGUAUCAUGUAUGGUCUGUGUCUCCCCAGUCCCCUCAGAACCAUGCCCAUGGAUGGUGACUGCUGGCUCUGUCACCUCAUCAAACUGGAUGUGACCCAUGCCGCCUCGUUGGAUUGUCGGAAUGUAGACAGAAAUGUACUGUUCUUUUUUUUUUUUUUAAACAAUGUAAUUGCUACUUGAUAAGGACCGAACAUUAUUCUAGUUUCAUGUUUAAUUUGAA
rnacentral:lncRNA from 1 species